rfam:Chlorocebus sabaeus isolate 1994-021 chromosome 16, whole genome shotgun sequence.
GCUGUGCACAAUGGCACAUGCCCAUAGUCUCAGUUACUCGGGAGGCUGAGGCAGGAGGAUCACCUGAGCCCAGGAAUUCCGGCUGUAGUGCACUAUGCCAAUCAGGUGUUCGCACUAAAUUCAGCAUCAAUAUGGUGGCCUCCACCAUGUUGCCCAAGGACGGGUGGACCAGCCCAGGUGGGAAAAGGGACAGGUAAAAAUUCCCAUGCUGAUCAGUAACGGAUCACGCCUGUGAAUAGCCGCUUGCGCUCCAGCCUGAGUGAUAGAGUGAGACUCUGUGUUUU